UCCUGAUGGCUCACAUGAAGUUUCGUGCCGUUCCGACCUCGUUUGAUACGGUUAUGGUUAACCACACGGCCCCUCGGGCCCGACCCGAGCCCAGUCAACGUUUUGACCCGAUCAAAUCGGCCCGUGACCCGAAACGACCCUACUUGGGCCCUACAACAGCCACGUAAAGUUUCGGGAUGAUCCGACGUUCUUUCAUGGGGUUACGGACAAUCCACGCCAAACAAGCGUCACGGGCCGACCGAGCCGGGCCAACGGGCCCUCGGGACCCGAAAACUGAAUUUUUUUUCAUCCAAACCCAUUAAAACACGUUACCGAGGUCUCACGCAAAAUUUCAUGCCAAUCCGACGUCGUUUGAUGGGGUUUUGAGAUAUUAUGAUUCCUCAAAAAUUUAAUGUCUGUUCCUGUCACUUAGCUUUUUGUGCAAAAUGUAUAUAUAGGGGAGGGGUGGGUGUUGAGCAGCCCAUGCCCGGGCAAGGCAUGCCAGCGCCCAAGCCAAAGGAGGCUGGUGGCGUGCGUAUAACAGCUCAAAUGCCCCAACGAUGACCGAGAACAAGCGCCCAUCUCCCCUCCUUCCCCCCCACCAAGCGCCCCUCCCCCCCCCAUGUUGCCUGCCCACUCGCACAGCUACUCGUGAUUUCAUGCCCAGCGACUAGUGAAUGUGCCUCGACGACCAGCAAACCUCGAAAAUUAUGAUUCCUCGUAAAAUUAAUGUCUGUUCCUGUCACUUUACUUUUUGUGCAAAAUGUAUAUAUAGGGGAGACCAGGGGCUUGAGCAACCCCUGUGCCCAAGCAAGGGUCAGAUGGAAGCACACGAGACGCGAGGUUUAAAGCCUAUACAAGCAAGGCGUCUGUCUCCCCAAGCCCCAUUGCCUAUAAAACAAGCCCGAUGCCUUGUAAAUGCCCCACACGAUGCCUAUAAACGACAACGAUGUUUGCUAGUUAAUCGAUCGACGCCCCACACCUUGCAGCAUGUUGCCUAGUAAACAAGCCAUGCUGCCUUGGAAGCGCCCCACAUCAUGGCAUGUUGCCUAGCACGCUGCCCUUGUUUCCAGCACGGCGACCUGAAAGCGUGGCCUGACGACGUGCUUGCCUUCGAAAAUUAUGAUUCCUCAAAAAAUUAAUGUCUGUUCCUGUCACUUUACUUUUUGU
rnacentral:rRNA from 1 species